rnacentral:piRNA from 1 species
UGCAUAUGCCUGUCUCUGUACUU